UGCCGAGUCAUUUCCUUUCCUCACUCGCUGCUCUCGGAGGAAAAGCGCCGUCUCUGCCAAGUGCCGUCUCUGCCUCAUCGGCUUCGCCAGGGCACCAGAGCGAUGAUCCAUCGUGACUGAGCUCCGGCCAAGCAUCGCACGGUGCAGUUCGGCAGCGACAACAAAGGAGAAAGACAAGUACACUCCGAUUAUACUCAUGAUGACUACAUACAGAUGAGGGAGACAUUUCCCAGGAUGGGGCAAAGGGUUAGCGGAUGAUGUAAUCGAGAAGAUGAGAUGGACGCGUGCUACUGUCCAGGGCCCCAGGAGUGUUGUGUAGGCUUGGUUAUGUUUGAGACUGCUCCUAUAGAACAUGGUUUAGCGUAUAUUUCCUUUAUAUUUCUGCAGUGGCUGUUUGAUUGUGACGUUACUAGUGAUUGAGGUGGUAUGAAACCGCUACUAUGCUUUUAUACCGGUUGUUAUCCCUUGAAAUUUAAAUAAAAAAAAUUUUCUUGGAUCUA